UUUGUUCCUGAAAUAGAAACUGACAGUUAUCACAAAAAAGUUCUUUGUAGUAGUAGCGAGAAAUUUCUUCAGAUAGGUGCAAAGUAAGAUUCUGACAGGUAAAAAAUUAUCAAAGACCAUGCCGUCUAACGUCAGAAAGAAGAAACGUUUAAAAAAAGUAACAUGAAAACAAUGUCCGCUCUAGCUCAGACACUAAAUUGAAAGAACUAACAAACAAAGCCACCACGCAGCAUGACACAUCACAACAGACGAAAUCCUCAAGGUGAUAAUAGACGCCAGUUCAACUUCUACACUGAGGAAAAGGCACUCAAGGCGGUGAUAUCCGUUCAUGUACCUUGUCUGCAAGUGAUUCUCGACGUUUCAGCACCUAGGCAACAGUGCUUGGACAAUGGAUUGCUGAAAGGAUAAACACCUAGUUGGUUACAUACUACAAGGCAACAGCAAAUGUAAGAUCAAUCACAACGGAUGGUGAAACACUACCCUGUCUCACAACAACAGCAUGUUCCAGGCUCAUGUGAUCCUCACACAAUAGGGACUGGGCAUCUGAUUGUUUUAAUAAUCACCUGUAUCACCCUUUUAGCUUUAUUCCUGUCAUUCUGCACUUUACCUAACCUGUGAUAAAUCUUUCUUUUUGAAUGAA